GGGUUGUGAGGUUAAGCGACUAAGCGUACACGGUGGAUGCCCUGGCAGUCAGAGGCGAUGAAGGACGUGCUAAUCUGCGAUAAGCGCCGGUAAGGUGAUAUGAACCGUUAUAACCGGCGAUUUCCGAAUGGGGAAACCCAGUGUGAUUCGUCACACUAUCAUUAACUGAAUCCAUAGGUUAAUGAGGCGAACCGGGGGAACUGAAACAUCUAAGUACCCCGAGGAAAAGAAAUCAACCGAGAUUCCCCCAGUAGCGGCGAGCGAACGGGGAGGAGCCCAGAGCCUGAAUCAGCAUGUGUGUUAGUGGAAGCGUCUGGAAAGGCGCGCGAUACAGGGUGACAGCCCCGUACACAAAAGCGCAUGUGCUGUGAGCUCGAUGAGUAGGGCGGGACACGUGGUAUCCUGUCUGAAUAUGGGGGGACCAUCCUCCAAGGCUAAAUACUCCUGACUGACCGAUAGUGAACCAGUACCGUGAGGGAAAGGCGAAAAGAACCCCGGCGAGGGGAGUGAAAAAGAACCUGAAACCGUGUACGUACAAGCAGUGGGAGCACAGGUUUACCUGUGUGACUGCGUACCUUUUGUAUAAUGGGUCAGCGACUUAUAUUCUGUAGCAAGGUUAACCGAAUAGGGGAGCCGGAGGGAAACCGAGUCUUAAUUGGGCGUUAAGUUGCAGGGUAUAGACCCGAAACCCGGUGAUCUAGCCAUGGGCAGGUUGAAGGUUGGGUAACACUAACUGGAGGACCGAACCGACUAAUGUUGAAAAAUUAGCGGAUGACCUGUGGCUGGGGGUGAAAGGCCAAUCAAACCGGGAGAUAGCUGGUUCUCCCCGAAAGCUAUUUAGGUAGCGCCUCGUGAAUUCAUCUCCGGGGGUAGAGCACUGUUUCGGCUAGGGGGCCAUCCCGGCUUACCAACCCGAUGCAAACUGCGAAUACCGGAGAAUGUUAUCACGGGAGACACACGGCGGGUGCUAACGUCCGUCGUGAAGAGGGAAACAACCCAGACCGCCAGCUAAGGUCCCAAAGUCAUGGUUAAGUGGGAAACGAUGUGGGAAGGCCCAGACAGCCAGGAUGUUGGCUUAGAAGCAGCCAUCAUUUAAAGAAAGCGUAAUAGCUCACUGGUCGAGUCGGCCUGCGCGGAAGAUGUAACGGGGCUAAACCAUGCACCGAAGCUGCGGCAGCGAACGUAUCACCCAAGACAACUUUACGGAGUUGACGAUUGACGGAGCGAAGCGACGUCAAAGCGUUCAUUAAAGUCGAGUUGGCUUAGGGAUACGUUCGUUGGGUAGGGGAGCGUUCUGUAAGCCUGUGAAGGUGUGUCGUGAGGCAUGCUGGAGGUAUCAGAAGUGCGAAUGCUGACAUAAGUAACGAUAAAGCGGGUGAAAAGCCCGCUCGCCGGAAGACCAAGGGUUCCUGUCCAACGUUAAUCGGGGCAGGGUGAGUCGACCCCUAAGGCGAGGCCGAAAGGCGUAGUCGAUGGGAAACGGGUUAAUAUUCCCGUACUUGGUGUUACUGCGAAGGGGGGACGGAGAAGGCUAUGUUGGCCGGGCGACGGUUGUCCCGGUUUAAGCGUGUAGGUGUGUGUUCCAGGUAAAUCCGGUUCACUUUAACACUGAGGCGUGACGACGAGGCACUACGGUGCUGAAGCAACAAAUGCCCUGCUUCCAGGAAAAGCCUCUAAGCAUCAGGUAACACGAAAUCGUACCCCAAACCGACACAGGUGGUCAGGUAGAGAAUACCAAGGCGCUUGAGAGAACUCGGGUGAAGGAACUAGGCAAAAUGGUGCCGUAACUUCGGGAGAAGGCACGCUGACAC
rnacentral:rRNA from 1 species